UCGCAGCUGUAAUUUAACAAAUAACGGCGGCAAUAACGAUUUGUUAUUCCUGUUAUUUUCUAUUACAGUAAAAUUAAAAAAAAAUCCUAUUUCUUUAAAAAAAAAUCAAUAGAGAUAAAAGAGAAUAUAUUCCUCACCUGUAAAAUCAGAUAGUUUUCAAUAAAAAAAGUAAAAGAAGUCCAAAUACAACAGAAAAAAGCAAUCAAAAGCAAUGGAAAAAUAUGAAAUUCUCAUAUUUCAGUUUAGACUUUAGACUCUAAACUCCAAAUGAAACAAAAUCACAACACAACAAAGCUACCGUUGAACCCGAGAAGCAAACCCUGAUCACUUGCACAUUCGGAGAUUCAUAAUUUCAACAUGCCACCACAUGAAGAGUUGCCGGCUAAAGGAUUGAAGGGUGCACCAAGUAAUGAUAUAGGUUGGCACUUUGGAACUUCAAUGCCAAAUACGAAAAGAAAUGUCGUAUGUAAACUUUUUGGUAAAGUUGUGAAAUGAGAAAUAACAUGAUUUAAAGAGCACAUUGCUCAUAAAAUCGACAAUGUUGCACCAUGCCCUAAUGUUACCGGUGUCAUUAGAGAAAGUAUGAUGAAUAUACUGAAAGAAAGCAACAUAAAGAAAA